rnacentral:rRNA from 1 species
AGGACGAACGCUGGCGGCGUGCUUAACACAUGCAAGUCGAACGGAAAGGCCCGCUUGCGGGUACUCGAGUGGCGAACGGGUGAGUAACACGUGGGCAACCUGCCCUCAGCUUCGGGAUAACACUUGGAAACAGGUGCUAAUACCGGAUAAUAACUUGUCAUCGCAUGGUGGUGGGUUCAAAGUUUUUCGGCUGAGGAUGGGCCCGCGGCCUAUCAGCUUGUUGGUGGGGUAAUGGCCUACCAAGGCGACGACGGGUA